AUGAGAAGAGGCGUGGUCUAGUUUGUAGGUGAUGGCUAGCGCGUCUACACUUGCGGUUGUUGUUGUUGGAGGUGGAAGGAGCCGGUAUUUUUUUGAGGUAGACUAGGGGAAUAGUGAGGGUUGGGGUCUGGUGGUGGUCCUGGGUUCUCUAGUGCACCCAAAAGUGCCUAGAGAUAGACAC